GGGGGGAGAGCCGGAUCUCGGGCUGUGUCCCCCGGCACCCUGUGCUCCUGGGUCUGCGCUGUUGGAAUCGCAUUCCCCGCCGCGCAGCUCCCU
rnacentral:pre_miRNA from 1 species